CAACAAUAGACAAAACAAUGUCUUUCUUGUCGUUUGCGUUUGCUGAUAGAUUUGCUGAAUAUUAAUGAUAUGUAUAUGUUAUUUGCUGCGAGGACGACGAGAACAAAGAGGAAGAAGAGAAAGGAGAAAGAGGAAGAAGAGGAAGGAAGAAGAGGAAGGAAGAAGAGGAAGGAAGAAGACGAAGGAAGAAGACGAAGGAAGAAGACGAAGGAAGAAGAGGAAGGAAGAAGAGGAAGGAGGAAGAGGAAGAGGAAGAGGACUAGGACGAGGACGAGGACGAGGAGGACGAGGAGGACGAGGACGACGAGGACGACGAGGACGACGAGGACGACG